rnacentral:rRNA from 1 species
UACGAAGGGGGCUAGCGUUGUUCGGAAUUACUGGGCGUAAAGCGCGCGCAGGCGGUCUUCCAAGUCAGUGGUGAAAGCCUGGAGCUCAACUCCAGAACUGCCAUUGAAACUGUUAGACUUGAGUACGAGAGAGGUGAGUGGAAUUCCCAGUGUAGAGGUGAAAUUCGUAGAGAUCGGCAGGAAGACCAAGGGGGAAGCCAGGGGACUGGCCCGCGGCUGACGCUCAGGUGCGAGAGCGUGGGGAGCGAACCGG